rnacentral:rRNA from 1 species
AACGGUCCUUCGGGACAGUGGCAGACGGGUGAGUAACGCGUGGGAAUCUACCUAGCUCUACGGAAUAGCUUCGGGAAACUGGAAUUAAUACCGUAUACGCCCUCCGGGGGAAAGAUUUAUCGGAGUUAGAUGAGCCCGCGUUAGAUUAGCUAGUUGGUGGGGUAAUGGCCUACCAAGGCGACGAUCUAUAGCUGGUCUGAGAGGAUGAUCAGCCACACUGGGACUGAGACACGGCCCAGACUCCUACGGGAGGCAGCAGUGGGGAAUAUUGGACAAUGGGCGAAAGCCUGAUCCAGCCAUGCCGCGUGUGUGAUGAAGGCCUUAGGGUUGUAAAGCACUUUCAACGGGGAAGAUAAUGACGGUACCCGUAGAAGAAGCCCCGGCUAACUUCGUGCCAGCAGCCGCGGUAAUACGAAGGGGGCUAGCGUUGUUCGGAAUUACUGGGCGUAAAGCGCGCGUAGGCGGAUUGAUCAGUUAGGGGUGAAAUCCCAAGGCUCAACCUUGGAACUGCCUCUAAUACUGUCAGUCUAGAGUUCUAGAGAGGUGAGUGGAAUUCCGAGUGUAGAGGUGAAAUUCGUAGAUAUUCGGAGGAACACCAGUGGCGAAGGCGGCUCAC